rnacentral:lncRNA from 1 species
CAGCUCCCUGCCACCAAAGUCCUCAUCUUUUCAAAAAAUAUCUCAAGAUGCUCUGGGGGGGGAGUUCUUUGUCCUUUUUUUGUAUCCCCCCAAGAAGCCAGCAGGUUUUCUCCCACUUCCCCACUGAGCUCUGGAGCUGCUGCAGCCAAAACAGCAAAUCCUUGUGGAUUUGCCAUGGUUUCUGGGCAUCUCCUUGAUGCUUUUCACCCAGUCACUGCAGGUACAAAGCCUGACACGGCCACAGCCCCUUCCCCUCCAUUCCUCACAGCCCAUUUUGGAGAGAUGCUGACUUGGGCUGCCCUCUCGUUCCAGCACCCGUGGAGCUGCCCCACGUUUCCCCCUGCACGCUCCCUGCUCAGCCUCAGCGUCCCCCUCGGCAUUUCGGCAGGAGCCGUCCCCAGGCGAGGUGCCUCCGUGAACACCCAAGGAACCCAGACCCUUACACAUCCCAGUGCAGGAGUGAGAGACUCAAGCCAGCAGACAGACUGUGGAAUAGCAGUUUUAAAUAAGGAAAUAGUGCAGUUGUCCAGCUACCUGAAGGUACGUACCAGAUGUUGUUAAGUACCCACUGGGAAAGCAGGUCUUCAGCAAGUACAACAAUACUUUUAAAAUUAUUGUUAUUAUUAUUAAAUGAAGGGGUGUUACAUGCCCAAUUUUAAUGUGGCCAAAAAGCCUACGGAUAAGCCACUGAACUCAAAGACCUGCCUGAACCCCCCCGAGAGGCAGAAGCCCUGACCCCGC